ensembl:snRNA U2 U2 spliceosomal RNA
AUCGCUUCUCGGCCUUUUGGCUAAGAUCAAGUGUAGUAUCUGUUCUUAUCAGAAGAGGCGGAAGCAAAGAGAGAUGGCGGCGUCGUCGGCCAUCUUUUCCGAGAGGGACGCAAGGACUUCUGGAGCGAGGAAUACGCUGAGAUUUGAACUCAUGGAGAAAGAUACUCAAUUUCAUGACAGGAUAACUUUUGGACGGAGAAUCCUUU